CAAAGUCACACGCGCAGCACGUGCGCGCGCGGCUUAUCGAAAGCGAGCGAACGAGCGUGCAUGGAAAACAGAGCCCCACAUUGCCGGAACGAUGGUCGGGCUAGAAUCUCGCGUUGCGCUGCAAGGUCACCAUUCGCAAGCGAUGCGUACACCUGUCCACAAGAGCGAUGACCGCUGUUUCGUCAAUUAUCGUGGUACGGAAGAGAGGGCGAGAGAGAGAGAGAGAGAGAGAGAGGACGUGCGCGUCGCGGUACAUGACGAGUGAUAUAUAUACCACGGGUCGCACGGCCACGGCCAAAGUGAUCGUUGAAUCGACAUUUCUCGCGGUACGGCGUCCUUUCCCGGCACCACCGAGCCAAAAUCGCCUGUCGGAUCGUCGUCACUGCCUUUCGCCGCGCCUUGUCCAUCGGACAAUUUCCGACCGCUGGGCUUCAUUUCUGUUUGGACAACGCGGUUCGUUGGCCUGCAGCAGCAGCCAACGGGCGCCAAGGACGAUGACGACGGCGGACUUGCUGGACGUCGAUGGCGACGGCGAGAAGAACGGCCAUCGGGAGGCGACGCUGCUCGGCGAGGACGAGGCGAGCCGCGACGACAAGAAGCCCGUGAUCGUCGGAUCGCGCGCCACGCAGGAGAAUGGCCGCGCCGUCUCCAUGAGCAUCGACGCCACGAGCAAGGCGCAGGAAGCCAAUGGCAGCAGGAGAUCCCCCAACGAGCCACCCGACGGCGGCCUCAGGGCCUGGUCCAUCAUGCUGGGCAGCUUCGUGAUCAACGGCGUGCUGUUCAGCAUCAUCAACAGCUACUCGCUCAUCUACACGGAGCUGCAGCAGCGACUGAAAUCGGCCGGCGAGGAUGAAGCCUCCACGAAAGCCGCGUUGGUGGGUUCGUUGACGAUCGGCGCGACAUUCUUCCUGUCGCCGAUUUCCGGUAUCCUGACAGACAAAAUCGGCAUCCAGCUGACGACGUUCCUCGGCGGUGCUUUGACCGCCAGCGGCAUGUACAUCUCGUCGCUGAUUGCCGACAACGUGGUGUGCCUUUAUCUGACCUACGGCGUGAUCUACGGGGUAGGCGCGAGUUUAUCGUACACGCCUAGCCUGGUGAUUCUCGGGCAUUACUUCAAGAGGCGUUUGGGUUUGGUCAACGGCAUCGUCACUGCCGGUAGCUCGGUGUUUACCACCAUUCUGCCCUACCUGAUGGGCUACCUGCUCAAGAAUUACGGCCUCGAGGGCACCUUCAGGAGCCUCGCUGUGCUGUGCGGGGCCGUCAUGUUGGCGGCGAUACUCUUCAAGCCCAUACAGAGUGCGGCACUGUCGCCCGACGAGUCCCAAGUGAUCGAGAGAAAGAAGAGGUUCGUCGACAUGAUCAAGGAGCUAAUCAAUAAGUCGAUUUGGAAGAGAAAGAAGUACGUCGUCUGGGCGUGCGCGAUCCCCAUCGCCCUCUUCGGGUACUUCGUACCCUACGUCCACAUAGGAAAGUUCGUUCGAGUGAACUUCCCGGAGAGCGACGACAAGAUCCCGGUGAUGUGUAUCGGCAUCACUUCCGGAAUCGGCCGACUCAUCUUCGGCUACAUCGCCGACUUGCCGAGGGUCAACAGAAUACUCCUGCAGCAGAUAUCCUUCGUGAGCAUCGGCAUUUUGACGAUGAUGCUUCCGUUCACCACCUCCUUCCCCUGCCUCGUCGCGAUACUACUCGGCAUGGGACUGUUCGACGGCUGCUUCAUUUCUCUGCUUGGACCCAUUGCCUUCGACAUUUGCGGGGAGAAAGGCGCCUCUCAGGCCAUCGGAUUCCUGCUGGGGUUGUGCUCGGUGCCGCUGACCGUUGGACCACCGGUCGCCGGCAUGAUCUACGAUCACACGCAAUCGUAUCGAUUGCCAUUCCUGCUGGCAGGAGUGCCGCCCAUCAUGGGUGCCUUGGCGAUGAUGCUGGUCUACCGCGUGAGGGACCAAGCGGCCAAAGCGCUCGACGAAGAAGUGGCUGUGCAGGCCAAGCAAUUCAUAGCCGAUCCUUUGAGCCAGAACGGUUAGUCUCACGCCCGUAAGCAAAAGCAAACGAGCCGCUCGCUAUCCCUUUUAUUCGUUCACGCCGCUUCAGUCGAAUGGAAGUAACGAUCGAUUCUUUUGGACGUGUCCAAGCUAGCUCGCGUCAAGGCGCCAUUUAUUGCCCCAUAUGAACGCGACACGACGGAAAUAAUGCAACUGUGCGAGGCAGUUUUCACAGAACCAUCAAUGAAAUGUGCGCCGCCAAUUUCGAUGCGAAAGAGUUUUUGCGCACCGCUCUGGGUAUUUUUUAUAGAUGACACGUAAAGCGCCCGUGCGAAAGACACGAGCGCAAGCAUGAUUCAUCGAUUUUUAUCAAGAGAAAAAUAUUUUUUAAUCGUCUUUGGGGACAAUUAUGAAAUGUCGCUAAUUGAAUCGUUCAAUUGAAAAGUGCGAUGCACGAGGCUUCAUUUCAUUGAGCUUGCUUUCGCGAAGAAUAAGUGACUAUUUUCAAGAGAGAUGAUUUUUGAUGGUAUUUAUAGAAUGAGUGUAAAUUAAGUGUUCGCUAAAAAGAGAAAAUUAAGAGUAUUUGCGUAUAAAUCGCCUUUAGAUGGUGAAAAUCACGUAGUAUUUAGAGUACAGAGUAUUUUCAGGACCCUAUAAGAGGUUUUCUUCUCUUUUCAUCAUUUAUGCUUGUGAGCUUCGGUCAACGGUUGUCAUUAACUUUUUUUUAUAACGUAAGUCCAUAGAAGCUUCAAAAAUAACAUCUUUCUUUGCAACUCGAUAACGUUACAACCACAGAUGAAGUGCAAAAGCAUGAGUGAUAUUGAUGGAUCUCAAUGAUCUUGUAAGCAAUGCGAAAGAACCGAAAAAGGGUAUAUAUGAUAUUACUUCUUUGCACAAUAACACUUGGAAUAAUAUGCAUCAUUUGUAUUGCGAACCUAUCUCACACACGGAGCGUGAUUGUCUCGAGCAGCCGGCGCAUAAUUGAUGCCGGCAAGUUUGCUUCAGGGACGAUCAGCAACCCAAUGACGAGUGCUCGCCUUUACUUAACGAUCGUCAGACAAGAUUCAGACACUUGGACGAUUCGAUCUGGAACCUGUGAUGAUGAUGAUGACGAUGCUGUGUGAUUCGUGUGCGCGCGAGAGACAAAAUAUCUAAAUGUUAGGGAUGCUAUUAUAUGUUCAUUCAGUUUUGCAUUUUUCGUUUAAAUGCGACAACCGUUAUUCUGACAGCUUUUCUAUCAUAAUAUUGUGGUCAGUGUUACUAUUCUAUUUAAAUACUUUUUCUAUUUCUUUGAGACGCAUAUCAUUACCCGCCUUUUUCAACGAAUCAAUAGUGAUUUUGCGAAUCUCAUGUAUACUCCGGCAUUUUCUUUUUAACUUUGCAAACAAGGCGAUUAAGGGGAGUAGUAUGUAUUUUGUUUGGAACAAACAACUAUUAAUUUUAAUUGUAAUCGACUCAAGCUUCUUUUUUAUAUCAAGUUUAAUUUUACUCUUUUUUAUGUAAUAAUUACUAGAUAAUUGCUAUAUGUAUAAUAUGUGAGAAUAAGUAGCGAAUG